ACUUAUCAAAUUUUGGAAUACUUUCAGUCUAAGUUCUCAUUGUAGGGUGUAAUGCGUUCCAAAGUAACAGAUUAUUGUAAUGACAUUAAGUAACUCUGUAACAAAGUAAUGAAAUGUGUUAUUUUACUAAAUUCAAUAAUUUACAUACAGCUACAAUGAUUGUAACGGUCUUUUGCAUUUGAUGUUUGUUGCAUUUGAUAUUUGUUAAGUUGUAUGUCUGGAUUUUGUUCUUUUGCGCCCUCUGGUGGUCAACUGUGUAGGGUACAGCUUUGCUGUUUGAGUCUCCACCCAGCCACUUUUCCUUUGCUAGCGCACAUGGUGUCUGCAUGCUGCAGCUCACGGUUAGCUCCACACAGGGAGAAAAUAUCGUUUAAAGAGUGGAAAUAAUUGAGAAAGAAGAUGGAGGAUAAGGCAAUAAGGCCAUAAAGGACUAUUUAGCACCUCCUGGAUGUCAGCUCACGAGUUCUCACGGGUUGCCAAGACCAGAAUAAACCCUGUUCCAUAACUACAUCGUGCGUACGUCCAUCCUUGAGGGUGCUACAGUGAGAACUCUCCGCUCUGCACGGGUAGAUGAAAGGACGCAGCCCCGCAGGAAAGUCAGGGCUUCCUGGUGGCAGCCAGUGUGCCCCUAGGGGUAGUCAGGGUGAGUUGGGCUGCCUCCACUUCCCUGAUCAUCCUGCUGUGUCUUUAUUGUGCGAGUUUCUCUAUGUCCCUCAUCGGAUCAUCAGUUCAUCUUGACUCAUGUUUCAGGUUUCACCAUCUUCAUAUGGUUCAAUAAACUCUCCAUUUUCCAAAAAAGUUG